AAGCAGCCUGCCUGGCUCCCCUUCAGAACUGGGGCUCUGUACCAAAGGAGGAGGGUUUGCACUUUAGAGCCGGACCUUGGUGCCUGGGUUUGUCAGGACCUGGUUAUCUUAGGCAAGCCAUCCAGAACUGCUCACAGCUUUGAUUUUUAGCACAUUCUCAGAGGAUCUCAUUACAUGGCCGGCUGUUCUUUGACCACCCGGCUUUCUUGAUUCCAAAGCCUGGGACCACCAGCAGUGGCAGGAACCUGUGAACUCAUCCUUCACUUCCUCCUGCGCAAGAGCAGAUGCGGGGAAGGGAGUCAUCCUCCCCCGGCCCCGCCUCCCAGGGCGGCUCUGCAGCUGAGUACCCAGCUUGUGGGGUCUGCUUGGCCGGGAACAGCUGCUCCCUGCCCUCUCCCAGGGCUUGCAUAUUGCGGCUCUUUUGUGCCAGAACGCCUUUUCUGCACAGUCAUCCCGCCUGAGGUCCAGCAACCUGUUAUCCCUGCAGCGUGCCUGGUAAUCCUGUAAUUUACUCAAGUUCCUGUUCUUCUGCUGAUCUGUUGCUGUCCAUUGUCUGAGGCUGAGCUUUCGAGGUGUUGUGGACGUGUUUUAUUUGAUAAGCUUAUCAAGCAAAUGUUACCAGAAAAUCAUAGAAAUACACGUUUGAUUCCACUUGUGUGUUUCAACCUGCUUACAUCCUCUUCCUCUUCUCUCCUGGGAAGCCCUUCACCUAGAACCUGGAUGCGAGAUGAUUUGAAGAAUAGAGCUGAGGGUCCUGAAUCUCCAUGCAGGUGAGAGUCUCACGAGGCACUUGUCCAGAUGAUCUGAGGAAGAAAACAGAGUCUUACUGAAUCUCCACAUGAGUGGCAGUCUCCUAGGAAACCCAUCAAACCUAUCCAGCCUGUUUUGAAAACCGAUUCGGUACCACUGCAAAAGGCCCCAAUUCACAGCCGACACCUGCCAAGCCUGUGCUGCACAGAAAGAAACUGGACUGUCCCUGAGCUUGCCCAGGCGCCCGGGCCGACCGGAAGUGCGUCAUCAGCCUGCGCUGGGGCUCGCCAGCGGGCGCUCUAAGCUGCCGCGAGGUAAGCAGCUGUGCCCUUCAUGCCUGUGUGCUGUGAAGUUCCUUCUUGCCAAAGGCCUAAAGAACGGUGAACACGGCUGACUGUGGCUCUGAAACUGUCCCAACUUUAAGGAAGCUCCGUGUCUGGCCUCCUGUAAAACUUCUGAAAUCAUCUGGCUGUGACUUUUGCUCUUCAUUCUCAAGGUGAAGCAAAGCUCCUGACAGUACAAAUUCCUCAGCCUGAAUUCUAGGCUGCUGUGAAGUUUCUUCUGCCAGAGAAGGAAAGCAGUGGUCAAAAUUAAGUGACAUGGCCAAGUAAAAGCACAGCCUCGGACCACAGAAUUCCAAUCAAAGGAGUCAGCAUCUCAUUGCAGUUUCCUCGUUAUGGAGGCAAGCACUCCGCCAGUGCCCUCCACCAUCAGUUCCAAUGCAGAGACCGUUUGCACGGUUGCAGCGAGGCCGGCGGGGUCUGGCGUGGAGUGGGAGGAGCGGCCGCGGCCGGUGCGUUUGCGGGGCCAGGAGCUCGCAUGCGUGCGUGCAGCCUGCGGGCCACCGCGGAGGACUCAGCUCGCUGGCUGAACGGGGAGCCCAGGCCGAGGCCUCGGCUCCGCCGCCCGGGCUGAGCUCGGAGCAUCGGGCUGGCUCCCUUGCCGCGGCUUCGCGCCGGAACCUUGCCGUGCCGCGGGGGUGGGAUUCGGGCUGGGGUUCCCAGGGAGGUAUGCAUGCGGGCUGAGACCCGUGUCCCCAGGACGAGGGGCCCUAGAACUGGCUCCCCUUAGAGGCUGGGUUUUUUUUUGGUUGCAGAAUAUAUUUAUUGAGAGAAAGAAAGCUUCUAUCCAAGAGAGAGAGAGACACAGCAGGCCCCAAUGGGUUGCCCUAGACGUUUUAUUCAUUUAUUUAUUUUUGAACAGGAAAGUUUUUUUUUUUUUUUAAAAAAACAUUUUAUUCAAACAUAAAAAGAAAGAAAAAAAGAAGAAAAUACCACAACAAAAUUGUAAAGUACGCCAGUCAGGAGGAGCAAUGGGACAGACAUUGCCCGUGGGCCCCUGAUGUUUUAAAGCUGUAUCCAAAGCUGCUUUGCGUUUUGGGCUUUCCUGUUUUAUCUUGCUAUGCGCAACCCAGCUCCUCACUUCACAGCAGGGUCUGUAGCUCCUUGCGGUGCAGCCACCCCAGCCCACCCCGUCACAUGUGGCCUCUGAUUUCUGCUUUCCAGAUGUGAUGACUUCACUGUUAUGCUGACAUCCAUGAAGACUUGAGGGUCCUCCUCAGUCUCCCUCUCUUUUGCUCCCCCUUUUCAGGCUGUCCUGGAACUCCCCUCCCCAGGUAGCCCUGCCUGGCCUCCAAGCAGAGUGCUGGCGUUACAUGUGUGUGCCAUGACACCUAGCCUUAGAUGAAUUUUUACAUUAUUGCUUCUGAUAUUUUUUAUCUUUUACUAUUUAUGCGUGUUGGUUUCUGAGCAAGGGACCUUAAAAGUUUUUUUGAAACUUUAUAAGUUUGUUUCCUUAAAGGAAUUCAUCAUAGGCAUUAAGAUCUUUGAAUAAAAAUUGCUCCUGGCACUUAGAGUUACCUUGUUCUCCUGUUUGGGGCAGUGUGGCAGUUUCCAGUUUCUUUUUGUGUGUGUGUGUGUUUUUCCUUUUUAUCAUUACCAGAGAUCGAACUCACGACUGCCUGCUUGCAAGGCAGGCGCUUAUGUGCUGAGCUAAACCUCCAACCCCUUAGUCUCCAGUUUCUAAGGAGGGCCUACAGAAUUUUCCCUUACCACCCACUGUGUUAAGGCAAGACAGCAUUUGUCAAGCAGGUAUGGCAAUCCUGGCUACCUGUUGCUGGCUGGCGCACCUGGCAGUUCCCCGAAUCUGACAGCACAGUGCAACACCUUUCACUUGUCAGAGGGAGAGACUGAAAUCAUUCAUUGCUUUUGCUAAACCAAAAUUAUGGGGGAAAAGACAAAAUAAUUUUGAAUAUUGCUUGAAAGAAUUGCAACUUACCUGUUAAAACUAAUUUCAACUGGACAUGGGAGCACAUAUCUGUAAUUCCAGUACUCCUCAGGCUGGGGCAAGAGGACCUUGGGGAGUUGGAGGCCAGUCUGGGCUACAAAAUGAGUUCGAGGCCGGCCUCAAUUUCAUGGAAAGACCUUGUCUCAAAACAACAACAACAAAAUUUAAAAUACUAAUUACCAUUAAUUUGUUUCUUCCAAAGUUAUAAAGGCAAAUACUGCUUUCCUUAAAACUUCAAAGAAAAAAAAGGAGAAAAUAGAAGGGGAGAAGAAAAGAAACUGGAAAGAUAAUUUAAGAGAGGAAGGGUACAAUGGGCUAACAAAAGUGUUAGGGAGGCUGGGUAUCAGACAGGUGAUAUACACAUGAAAAUGUCACAAUGAAAUUCAUUAGUUUGCACAGUUUCCAUGGGUAAAUAAUUAAAUAAAAAUUCAGUUGUCAAUUUUAUGGGUACUUUAGGAUGUAUAUGUGCUUGCAUCUUAAUGUAAAAUGCUAGAAUAACUUGUCAUAUGUAAAGUUUAUCUUUGGCAAGUUAUUGUUGACCUUUGAUUGAUUUAAAUUUUUUUUUGUCUUUUUCCUUUUUUAUCGGUACCAGGGAUCAAACUCAUGACUGCCUGCUUGCAAGGCAGGCGCUUAUGCCGCUGAGCUAAAUUCCCAGCCCCAAUUGAUUUAAAUUUUUACUGAGUGUCUGUGUACUUUAUAGCUCUCUCUUUUUUUGUUGGCACUGGGACUGAAACUCAGGACCUUGUGCUCACCAGGCAGGCACUUAUCCCAGCCUCCUUUUUGUCUUUUUUGAGACAGGGUUUCAUUAUGCUGUGCAGGCUGGCCUUAAACUCCCUUCAUAGUCCAAGCUGGCCCGGAGCUCACAGCAAGCCUCCUGCCUUAGCCUCCCCAGUGCUGGGAUUAUGGGUGUGUGCCACCAGAUCUAGCUCAGUACUAGGUCUUUUUGGAAUUUCCUGUGAUUAAGGGUGAAAGUUAGACCCCUAUGCUGGUAUUAAAGGAAAGAUGUUACUUUGUAGCCUGGUUUAGUAACAGAAUUUAUAGUGUCACCUUGUUCUCUCCUUGAAUCUGCUCAGAGCUUCCUUGUAAUACUUCCCCAUUUACAUCUUUAUUAUCCUCCUUUUUUGCUCUUGUAAUGUUUAUUCUCCAGUUUCACAUUUAAGUUAUAAUGGCUUCUAAGUUAAUCUGUUUCAUUUGUUAUCCUGCUCACUUAGUUUUAGGGAAAAUACUUGAUAUAAAUGGAUUGAUUGCAAGUGCACGGCCUCAGGGCCUGUUUAGCUCAGUAGUUUCUAGUGCCAGCCCAGUAAGCUUGAAGUCACUGGAUCCCCGCUACCAAAAAAUAAAAACAGGGCCAGGAAUGCAGCAGCGCAGGCCUGACUGGCUAGCUGGCUAGCAUGGGCCCUGAGUUUGACUGUCAUUGCUACCAAAAUAAAGCAAGUGCACUCCCACUGUGAGAAGUCAGUGGAGGCCGCAAUCUUGUUUCCUCCGGUGGGUAACUAUGGCCCCUGUGCCUUCCUGUCUUUCUCUCCAUUUUCUUGGCUCAGAGCCGGGAAGCUUAAUGUGGGUUACAGGCAGCCCCUAAGUGGAUCAUACGUGGAGGCGCCUUUCCUCAUACAGUCUGAACAGUAUGUGGGCAUUCAUGUCCUCUUGGUAGAUCUGGGGAGGUUUCACCUUGGAAAUUAGAGAUUUUUCUUUUGUUAGUAAAGUGUAGAUUGUUGGAAUUUUGUAUGAUCUUUUAUUUUUUCUUUAUUCUUGAUAUUUUAAUAAACUUUGGGUGUUUUUUGAGACAAGGUCUUGCUGUACGGUUCAGGUCUUGAGAUCACUAUGAAGCCCAGGCUGGCCUCGAAUUUGGUAAUCCUGAGUGCUGAGAUUACAAGUGUGCACCACCACACCAGGCCAAGCUCUUCAAUACAUUUUUGAUGUAAAGCAUAUUAAAUGCAUGUAAGUAUUUAAUUGAGU